rnacentral:rRNA from 1 species
AUGUUUAGGCGCCUCAUUGCCUUCCAGCAAGAGACUGGAAUUAAGUGUCGGAUAAAUCCCACCUCCAUGACCGUGUCCAUCGCGACCGCGGCAUCCAUGGGUGGCAUCGACAUGUCUAAGGAGAAGGACAGGAGGCCAGGGUCGACGCCAAAGAGAGGUGUGGCAGCCAAGUCAAACAUAAACCUGGAAAACAUUUCUUGCAUGUCGAACGGAGUGCCGGUGCUUGCCAGGUGGGAAAAUAAUGGUAGAAGUCCAUUCUCCACCUUGUCACGGCAGCAAGUUGCCAUACUAGCAACCAACCGUGGGCUGCUAAGCACGCUCUGGAUUUUUGCGCGCGGCCGAAGAGAGGGUGCACCAUCAAUGGUGAAGAGGCUACCAGCCAUGAUGUCAAAGAUGGCGGCAAACUCUGCUCCCUUGGGGAAGUUGGUGUAG